GGCUCUGAAUCCGCCACUGGUUCUGCCUGGCAUUUUAACUGUCAAUGUCACAAUACUGUUAGCUGUUACUGCAAUAAAGUGCACAUAUUUGUAUUCAGCAAUGUCUCACAAGUAAAAUAGUACCCCCGAUGUACAAGGUUUAUGGUAUUUGGAAGGUUACAGGGUCAAAUAUAGCACAUCACAUUUUUCAGUUUAUACACAUUGAGAUUUGCCAGAUUG